rnacentral:tRNA from 4 species
GAUUAAAUGGCUGAAAUUUUAGGCAAUAGACUGUAAAUCUAUUUAUGAGAGUUAUUCUCUUUAAUCA